GUUAGUUGCCAUCUGGUAAUGCAGGGGACUCUAGGCGAAACUGCCACCGUAAGGUGAGAGGAAGUGGGAUGACGGUCAAAUCAGCACGGCCCUUAUGUCCAGGGCUACACACGUGUUACAAUGGUCGGUACAGAGGGCAGCUACCUGGUGACAGGAUGCUAAUCUCGAAAACCGGUCUCAGUUCGGAUCGAAGUCUGCAACUCGACUUCGUGAAGCUGGAUUCGCUAGUAAUCGCGCAUCAGCUAUGGCGCGGUGAAUACGUUCCCGGGCCUU
rnacentral:rRNA from 1 species